ACGAACGCUGGCGGCAUGCCUAACACAUGCAAGUCGAACGCCCCGCAAGGGGAGUGGCGCACGGGUGAGUAACGCGUGGGGAUCUGCCCAUCGGUGGGGAAUAACCUCGGGAAACUGAGGCUAAUACCGCAUACGCCCUGUAAAGGGGAAAGAUUUAUCGCCGAUGGAUGAACCCGCGUCCGAUUAGCUUGUUGGUGAGGUAAUGGCUCACCAAGGCUUCGAUCGGUAGCUGGUCUGAGAGGAUGACCAGCCACACUGGGACUGAGACACGGCCCAGACUCCUACGGGAGGCAGCAGUGGGGAAUAUUGGACAAUGGGCGCAAGCCUGAUCCAGCCAUGCCGCGUGAGUGACGAAGGCCUUAGGGUUGUAAAGCUCUUUUGGCGGGGAAGAUAAUGACGGUACCCGCAGAAUAAGCUCCGGCUAACUUCGU
rnacentral:rRNA from 1 species